UGUAGUCUGCAACUCGACUACAUGAAGCUGGAAUCGCUAGUAAUCGUAGAUCAGCAUGCUACGGUGAAUACGUUCCCGGGUCUUGUACACACCGCCCGUCACACCACGAGAGUUUGUAACACCCGAAGCCGGUGGAGUAACCUUUUAGGAGCUAGCCGUCGAAGGUGGGACAAAUGAUUGGGGUGAAGUCGUAACAAGGUAGCCGUAUCGGAAGGUGCGGCUGGAUCACCUCCUUUCUAAGGA
rnacentral:rRNA from 1 species